GUUAAUAACAAAGAGAAGCACGAAAAUUGCAGUGGAGAGCGCCGACUGCUUCAGGUAAGAAUUUAGUUGAAUUUACUUAGUUUGAAUUUAUUUCAUACUCCUAAUAUCUUCCUAUUGAUAAUAUGAAGUGAAUUACUUUUAUUAUGGGUAAGGUGUAUGUUCUGCCAACUAUUGGUAUUCAUGGUGAAAACAAUUAUUAAAAUGAUAUUGUGGUUGGAAUAAUGUUACGGCUAUGGAGAAUGAAUAAUAUGUAUACGCAGGAAUCACAGUUUUAGCUUAAUGUAGAUUUUGUUAGGUUUGUGCGUCAGUUGUAUAUUAGUUAGGUUAUAAUAAUUAAUUAGUAAUUCCUUAAUAAUGAUAAAAAAAGAGAUGGAAAAAUUAGAGACAGUGACAUUGGCAUCUUUACCGUUCUACUGCUUUGAUUUCACAUAGGAAUAAAGAUUGAUAUUUGUGACAUUAGCUAAUGAUAAGGCAAUCUAUUAUUAAUGAUUGGACUAUGAUGAUGAAUUUGAUAUUGGAUAAUGGUUUCCGUAAACUGUAAUUAGUAUUUGAGUUGCCAUUUUCCUUACUCGGCUGAAAAUUUGAGAUUUCUCAUGCGAAAUCAUCAAUUACAGUUUAUGAUAAAAUUAAUUUUUGGCCUACGGUAAUUUUUUUAUUAGAAAUUAUAAAAUGGGUGUCAUUAGAUUCGUCUCUUAUGGGGUUUAUAUACUUGAACAUAUUUUGAUCAUUUGGAGACUUUACGGAAGGGUAAAACCAUUGCAAAUUAGCUUGCUUUUGGAUUCCUUGGAUGAGGUAGGUUAUGAUUUAAUUGGAGUUUAGACUCGAUUUCAUUGUUUGUAUACUCGUAAAUUGAAUUUUCUUUGAUUGGUAUUCAGACAUGCUUGAAUUUGAUGAUAUUUAGAUUAUUGAGAUAUGUAUAAAUAAUUAUUGAAAAUUUACUUGAUGAAAUUGUCUUAUGACUUUAAGUGUACUUGUAACUUUAGUACAUCGUAUUGUAUCCUGAGAUAUAGUGUAAAUUUGAGAAAACAUAUCUAAUAUUGUUAUGGAGGAUCGGGUAUCACGCCGGUAUGAAUAUGAUAUUAAUAUUACUUAUUUUUGGAGGAUGGGGUACCACACCGGUACGAAUAUGAUAUUGAUAUUAUUUAUUUAUGGAGGAUCGGGUACUAUGCUGGUACGAAUAUGAUAUUGAUAUUAUUUGUUUAUGGAGUAUCGGGUACCGCGUCGGUAAGAAUUGAUACGAAUAUGAUAUUGAUAUUACUUAUUUAUGGAGGAUCGGGUACCACGCCGACACGGUACAUGAACAUAGAUAGUUCCCUCAUGACUAGUUGGGCAAAAAUAAGUCCCUUAGAAUGUGUGUACAUAUUUUUGUUGAAUUUGAGAGGUUAUAUGGGUUAUUAAGAAGAUAUCGAGCUAAUGGUGUUCUAAUUGUGAAGUUUAGAAGGAUGCGGUUGUUAUUUAUGGUAUUGUUGUUGAUUCUGUGGAUGUUUAUUACAUGGUCGAUACUCUUAAUGAUUAUGUGGCUUGUUCGUAAGCUCUGUUUGACCUGUUAUUGAUGUAUUGUUGAUUAAUUGAGUACUUGUUAUGUGACAAUGUAUGUCUAUUUUCUAUUUGAUUUAUGUUGUGUAUAUGUUAUUAAAUUGAGUUGGUCUAUGAUACCUACCAGCACAUAGUGGUUUGUACUGAUACUAUCCUGUACUCUUCUUUUGCUGAGCGCAAAAAGUGUUCCAGAGACUCAGACACGACGUUACCUCUAGAGUUUGGUAGCAGAUCUUGAUCCAAGAGUGACCACUCCGUCUCUAGGAUGCUAUGGGUCAUCCUAUUUGUUCUUGUCCAUCUUCCGAGAAAUAAAACAUUCUUUAUUUUCUUUCUUUUUGGAUAAUCUUUUAGACAUGAUCUUUGUUUAGAAUUUCUUGUACAAUGACUUUCGGGUCUUGGGAAUUUAAGUAAGUAGUUUGUUUGAAUUUCACAUUAAUAAUGAUUAGCUCUGGAUUAACAAAUUUCACAUUAAUAAUGAUUAGCUCUG
rnacentral:lncRNA from 1 species